rnacentral:misc_RNA from 1 species
AACGCACCUUGCGCCUCUUGGUAUUCCGAGGGGCACGCCUGUUUGAGUAUCGUGAAAUCCUCAACCCGAUUCCUUUUCGUCGAGAAAGGGGAACGAGGGCUUGGACUUUGGAGGUCUUGCCGGUCCCCCCGAUCGGCUCCUCUCGAACGCAUUAGUGGAGCUCGUAAGCUCUCUCCGCCCCUCGGUGUGAUAGUCAUCUAUGCCGAUGCGUGAGGGAGGGAAGGCGCCGCUUCUAACGAACCAUGCCUCGCCUUGUGCGAGAGCGUGGAUAUGGAACCCUUUGAUCUCAAAUCAGGCGGGACUACCCGCUGAACUUAA